ACUUUCCCUAAUUCAAUCUCUUCAUGCCUAGAGUUCUCAUCUUUGUUCUUGCUUUAGAUUCAAUUGCUGAUUGCUUCAUCUUCGAUUGCUGACAUGGUAUCAGAACCAUGAAUGGUUAAUCGUCGGUGGUUUAGUUUUUGGUGAUGAGGUAUUUUUAGUAUGUUGUUGAUUUGUUAAAUAGUUCAAGACAUUGUUCAAGACAGAGUUUCAAAUCGCGGUCGCGUUUUCGGUUAUUUCGGAUUUACCGUGAUUGCGGCCGUCGCGGGCGCAAUUGCGGCUGUCGCUGGCGCUAUUGCGGCUGUCGCGGACGCUAUUGAGGCCAUCGUGGACGCUAUUGAGGCCAUCGCGGGUAACUCGGACGACGGCGAAACCACUAUAUCACGGCCGAAAUCGCAGUCGCGGACCGUUUUUUAAAACCCUGGUUCAAGAUAGAGUCACUAGGUUAAAUCAUGAGUUUGAGCUUUAUGAAGAACAGGAUGGGGCUUUAGCUUCUUGGCAGUUAUCAAAGGCUUAGUAAGAGUGUUCAUACAAUCCUACUUUAAGGAGACGUUUCCCCAGUUGAUCCAUAAUCUACCUGCUUUCCCUGCAUCCAUCUUGUCAGAAUAUGAAAAUGCUUUGGCAUUUCCAGAUGAACUACCGACUGAGCAACAAGAUGCCGACCAAUCACCCCUGAGGCCCAAAGAAGAGGAGCACAACCAAGAACCCCAGUCGCCAACACAAGCCGAGCAGGACCAACCCAUCCAGACGCUCAUUACUGUUGAACAGCUCCCUGAAGCGAUGCCCACAAAACCCGAAAUGCCAUAACAAUCUCUCGUACGUAGGACUAAGCAACACCUUAAGAAGUUUGUGGGGCUUGUGUGGAGAGCCCAAUCGCCAAGGAAACUGAGUAUGUUCAAGCCCCACCCAUUGAGCCUACAUCAGACUCAGAGUCUAGCCCACCCCUGUUGAAGAGUUGCACCUGACGCAACAUAGCCAUCACGAUACUACUGCUAUCCUAGAUAAGUCAAGGUUGUGUUUUGUUGAUGAUUUGCUGGUUGAUGAAGCAAAGGGUGAUCAUGGAGGAUUGUCGCAACAUUCCCAGAUGGUGAGCUAAAGGGAAUUGCCAAAGCAAUUUGGGAUGACUGAGCAUGAGAAAAAUGUCACGACGGUUAGGAUGACAUUUCUGGGCGCAUAAAAAGACAAAAGAGGUGAAUAUAUUUUCUUCAAAGUGCCAACUGUGCAACACUCACGUGUUUUCCGCUGCUAACCACCUUAUAGGGGACCAUUGCCUCCUUUGUACCCAUUUUCACAUGAGGGGAAUGUACCUUAGGGUAUUAUGAGAAUUUUUUCACUAAAAUCGAGGAUAUUCCCCUAGUAUAAAUAGAAAAGGUGGCCACAAAAAUGAGAGAGAAUUCCUUUAAGGAAAUAGUGAGCUAAGCAAGAGAGAGACGACUGAAAGCUUUCAACUUUCUUUCCUCUUUCAUCUUUUCAAGGGCUUCGUCCAUAGCCAAGCUCGAGGGAAUGGCGAGAUAGACAUCCGAGAGGAGCUAGCGUCGCUAAGGUACCAUUCGUGGUGGUCUGAGGAGCAACCGACAUCGUGCAUUGGGAGUUUUCUCCACCCUUAUGCUUUAAUUUUCAUUCGAUUACAUGGGUUGUAUGGAACAAAUUAUUCUCUUGGAUAUCUCGAACCCCAUCAUAAACUAAACUUUUUUUUGUCUGGUUUUUUAUGGAUGAUUAAAUGUUUGUUUUAAUGAAUUAUUUGAGUUUUUAUGUU